GGCUAUAUUUAGGUCAGUUUAGGUACAGAAACAGCAGGAGUUGGAGUUAAUAUACAGGAGUUUAAACUAACAAGGAGUUUAAACCAACAAUGUAAAUAUUGUUUUACUGUCUUACGUACUUGUGUUUUUGGUAAUUGUGGAAAUGGGUGUUAGCAAGAUUGCAGGUUUCACUCGAUGCACAUCUUGUAAUACAGGGCUUGAAAAAUUUGCUUUCAAUCUAUUGACUAGACAGACUCCAAAGAGUGAGUUUAGGAUAUUAAGAAGUAAACUGAAGAAAAGGACCUCCAAGGUAGUAUUUUCAGAGAUAUUACUUGUGCUGUGAACUAGAG